GGGUGAGUAACACGUGGGUAAUCUGCCCUGCACUCUGGGAUAAGCCUGGGAAACUGGGUCUAAUACUGGAUAUGACCUUUCUCCUUAUGGGGUUUGGUGGAAAGUUUUUCGGUGUAGGAUGAGCCCGCGGCCUAUCAGCUUGUUGGUGGGGUGAUGGCCUACCAAGGCGACGACGGGUAGCCGGCCUGAGAGGGUGAUCGGCCACAUUGGGACUGAGAUACGGCCCAG
rnacentral:rRNA from 1 species